rnacentral:rRNA from 1 species
GAGUUUGAUCAUGGCUCAGGACGAACGCUGGCGGCGUGCUUAACACAUGCAAGUCGAGCGAAGCAGGGAAACAGAUUUCUUCGGAUUGAAGUUUCUCUGACUGAGCGGCGGACGGGUGAGUAACGCGUGGGCAACCUGCCCCAUACCGGGGGAUAACAGCUGGAAACGGCUGCUAAUACCGCAUAAGCGCACAGUGCCGCAUGGCACGGUGUGAAAAACUCCGGUGGUAUGGGAUGGGCCCGCGUUGGAUUAGCCAGUUGGCAGGGUAACGGCCUACCAAAGCGACGAUCCAUA